UUCACAAAAAAAUGGAAACCCUAAAGAAAAAUGUCCUGUACGCCUCUGCCUCCUGUCUUCCAUUGCACUGCUCCUGGCAGAAGAUGAAAAAAUGGAAUCAAAUGUAGCAGAACAAAUAUUGCUUCCAAAUGGAUCGAUGAUGAUCUGGUGGUUCAGAUCUGUUCGAUUUAGGAGCUUCUGCAAUCAAGGGAGGAGGAUUUCGUAUCAUUAGUGGCCAACAUGCUUUAUGAUUCUACGUGGUACUGGAUACAGAUUAAAAAACUUCAUUCUGGGUAAGUUAUCUACUUCUCUAACAUCUUUUAUCAUAUUGCCCUAAAUCUCUACGUCUGAAAUCUUCGUUCAUCCGCAUCCGAGUCUUUGUUUACUAACAAAAUUUCUUGUUUAUGAAAAUGUGGUAGUUUGAACUGUUUCUGAAUUUUUGGAUUUCUGACCUUUUGGGCAUUCUCAAUCUGUAACUUCGUACGCACCGUGGCAUUUUUUGCUAAAAUAUAUCAUAUCAUAAACAUAAAGAGAAUUUUACUGUAGACCUUAAAUUCACCUUGAGUUAUGAGUGCACAACUUGGUUGGCACUAUAUCGAGUGUCAUUAAUGACUAACCACAUUUAAUCUUGAUGCUUAGAUUUCAAGCAAAUAAAUAUUUUAUUUCUAUCAGUGUUUCUCUUUUCCACGCAAUGUCUCUGCUACAUAAUCUCUUAGUAGGGGUCUCUUAAAUUUAGUAAAAAUGGAUAAUUAGGUUGAAGUUAAAAAAAUGCAUUUGAUUUUACGGGUUCCAAUUCCGUGAAAAUUGUGGAAGUUUACCUUAUAUCGGUGACUUAAGACCAGCAUUUCUGUUUAAUUACAAAUUACUAGUGCUCUGUAAAACCAAAGACAACAUAGAUUUAUCUAAAAUCCGCAUCAAUAGUUUAAUUUGAAUAACAGGUUAACUCGAAGGAUUACCAUAUUAACUCAACUCUGCAUGCAGUAUCUAACUGCUAUGAUGCUACCAAAAAUUGUACCUAAUGAUUUUCCCAGCUUGAGGACUUUGAAUGAGCACGAUCGCAAUCUUUUGAUUCUUGAAACAAAGGCGACGAGGUGUGUGAUUGUUACCCCUCCGAUGCUUAAGUCAAAAAGGGAAUUUUUGCAUGAGACUAUAAACUGGAAAAAUAAUGAAAAUGUACCUGUACAAUGGUCUCAUGCCUCGUAUUUAUAGGGGUUGGUCCUGAUAGAAUUGGAAUUGGGUGACUUAUUACAAAGAUGCCUUUUGAAGAUUCAUAAGACCUCAUACCAUAUUUUUCUUUUUGCUGCUAACUUAUUUUACUCAAUGGUUUGUUGACAGUUCUUUGGUUACUAGAGCUUGAAUUAAGAACCCAAAUUUGAUAAGAUGGACAUUAUUUUUGUAGGCAUUUUCUGGACUUAUUGCUCUUAUAUGUGGACAUGGUUAUAUAGUAUGCAUCAAUCAAAUAUAUGAUCUUGAGAUUGACAAGUAAGACACACAUAUGCGUGCGUAUAUAUAAGAAUAUCUCUACCGUCUUACCAGGGAGGUCCUCAAAAGAGUAACAAUGUUUAACACUUGUUUUCUUUCUAUUUCUUGGAUACAUCCAUCUCACUGUUUUGCCCUAGCUUUGACGUAGGGUAAACAAGCUUUAUUUACCCGUAGCUACAGGAGAUCUUUCAGAACAAUAUGCAUGGUUCAUGGUGUUACUGUUUGCUGUUAUUUGCUGUUAUUAGCCUUUUAAUUGUUGGGAUGAACUUUGGUCCUUUUAUAACUGGUCUUUAUUGCCUCGGUCUUUUACUUGGCACUGUCUAUUAAUUAUUGGGAUGAACAAUUUCUCCUCCAUGGUGCAUACAUAUUCUUUUUGUUUUCUUCUAAAUAGUUUAUUCUUAUUAAUUUAUCAGGCAUAGACUUCUGCAUCAAGAAACAACUUUGCAAGUAUUCUGGGUAUUAGUUGUAAUUCUAAAUAAUUGGCAUAUGCUUUUCCUUAUUCAUGACAUUCCAGAUAAUAAUGCGAAUGAAACUAGUUUCUUCAAGUGAGAGGAUUCCUUUUAAAUUAUGGUGCGUAUUUUGCCACGAGAGCUGCUGUAGGUCUAUCAUUCGAGUUGAGGUAAAUUCAUAUUUAAUAUCCGUUCUUAUAUGCACAGAUUUAUUUAGUUGAAUUGUGAUUAGCCAGAUUGAAGCCAGCAGAAGUUAGCUUGAACGGUACUCAUUUUUUAUUAAUAUCUAGAUAUAGAUAUAACUGCAAAAUAAGGUUUUUGAAUAUGGCAAAUGUUAGUUCAAGGAGUGUAUGCUUCAAGUUGCCGUCUGAAACAUUUAAAAAUCUAUUAUAGUAAAUUGCUUUAUGGAUAUUGUCCCAGUUAAUUUAGUCAUUAUCAUACCCUUGUUUUCUCCUGCAGCUCACCUGUGGCUUUUUAUUACAACUUGUCACUUUAUUUGCGCUUGUGAUUGCCAUAACUAAAUAUCUUGCAGAUGCAGAGGGUGAUCGCAAGUAAGUUUUAAAACCAAAAAUUUGCAUGAAUUGCUCUAGUUUAUUUUUCCCACGAAAGGUUUUUAUUAAUAAUAUUUUAUUACUGCCAUUUCUUUACAUUUUCACUUGUGCUUAUUGAAUUUUGAGUCUUUGAAAGAAGCCAUAUCUUUUCGUGAAAUGCAAUCCUAUCUUACACGCCUCAGGUGAUGUGCAUUCUCUCAUGAUCUAACUUAAUUAACCUACUUUCCAUUAAUAUGUUUUUCUCUACACUGGUUCAAUACUGGUUUGAAUUUUCAUGCCUCGGAUGAUGUGCAUCAUCUCAAGAUCCAACUUAACUUUCUUUCCAUUGAUACGUCCUUAUCUACCUGCCAUGAUAUAGCACUCAUAUAUGGAAUAUAUUACAGGCAUUCAAGAGAAGCUUGAUGGUAUUUGCACAUUUCAUCUUGACAGCGAGUUCAAUUUUCCUAGUAAAUUUCUUUUAUUUAUUUCAUGAUGUUCACCAGAUCUCUAGUUGGACUGUAAUUAGCUUAUUCCUAUUCCAACGAAACUCGAUUGUCUUUAUUUUCUCUUCUCGUUACGAUUUUCUGCCCUGUUUUGUCUUAUUCUACUUGAAUUUAUUAAGAAUAAAAUAAUAAGCACUUGUGAUUUCAAUUAUGUUGGUUCGUCAAUUCGAUAAU
rnacentral:lncRNA from 1 species